rnacentral:rRNA from 1 species
AUACGGGGGGGACUAACAUUGUUCGGAUUUACUGGGCGUAAAGGUUGCGUAGGCGGACCUUCAAGUCGGAUUUGAAAACUAUAUGCUCAACUUAUAGCUUGCAUUCGAUACUGUCGGUCUUGAGUUAAUUAGAGGAAUGUGGAAUUCCAGGUGUAGCGGUGAAAUGCGUAGAUAUCUGGAGGAACACCAGUAGCGAAGGCGACAUUCUGGGAUUAUACUGACGCUGAAGCACGAAGGCUAGGGGAGCAAACAGGAUUAGAAACCCUUGUAGUCC